rnacentral:rRNA from 1 species
UAGCGACAGGCCUAACACAUGCAAGUCGAGGGCAGCACAAGGAGCAAUCUGAGGUGGCGACCGGCGCACGGGUGAGUAACACGUAUGCAACCUGCCUGUAAGCGGGGAAUAACCCGUUGAAAGACGGACUAAUACCGCAUAAUACUAAAUUACUGCAUGGUAAUUUAUUUAAACAUUUAUGGCUUACAGAUGGGCAUGCGCAUGAUUAGCUAGUUGGAGAGGUAACGGCUCCCCAAGGCAACGAUCAUUAGGGGUUCUGAGAGGAAGGUCCCCCACACUGGUACUGAGACACGGACCAGACUCCUACGGGAGGCAGCAGUGAGGAAUAUUGGUCAAUGGACGAGAGUCUGAACCAGCCAAGUCGCGUGCAGGAAGAAUGUCCUAUUGGAUUGUAAACUGCUUUUGCAGGGGAAUAAAGUGCAUCACGUGUGAUGUUUUGUAUGUACUCUGCGAAUAAGGAUCGGCUAACUCCGUGCCAGCAGCAGC